GAGAUAGAGAGAGAGAGAGAGAGAGAGAGAGAGCUUCUUCCCACUACGCUCUUUCCACUCCACUCAUCCUCUUCCUCCUCCCUCAUUUCUUACCCUCCCCGAACCUACGAAACCCUAGUUUCCCCAAUACCGAGCUUCAGAUCCCGUCAUACCCUCCCUCUCUCCGAUGGUCGCCGCCGACCCCGAUCUCGUCUCCCUCCGCCGGAUCGUACCCUCCACUGCUCGGAAGCUGCGGUCCAAGCUCCCUCGGCGUAGGCGCUUCCCGAUCCUCCCAAUCAUCGAUAGCGCCUCCGGUGCUCUUGGUGCUGCGGCGGCGGCGGAGUCCUCCUCCUCCUGCCUCUGCAGCGAGAUCUCCGGCGGCGGUUUCCGGCGAGUCACCAGAUCCUUCUCGAAGCGUCAGGCGACGCUCCGAUCCAAGGAGAGCAAGGGCGAUGGUAGCCGAGGAAUCGGAAUGAUCCCGCAUUGUUACGAGAAAGAGGCGAAGAGACCGAGAAGAGAGGAGUCCACGGCGAAUUCGGCUCCGGAGGCUUCCGUCUCCGAGAUCUCGGAGGUUCUCGGAGGUAUCCCCGACGGGCAUCGUGCUAAGAAAGGUACGUCCACUGAGAAAGCUCCCGCAAUCUCCGAUUCCUCGUGCCUCGAUUCGAUCUCCAACGCGAACUCCGCGCGGAUCCCCAAAUCUACUGCGGACGAGGGCUGCGUCGGCGGCGGCGGCGGCGGCGGCUCCCAGAUCACGCUGAGCUCCGCGGCGGCGCCGCUGCGCGAUCUCGACCUCGACUCCGAUCUCGCGUGCUCGGAGCAGUUCUCCUCCUCCGACGGCGACGAUGAAGAGAGGAGUCCCUCCUCCACGUGCUCGAUGAUGUGCAAGGAGAUGGCUCUCUCAGAUCUCGAGGAGGAGCUCUUCCCCCUGUGCUCGGAGGGGGAAUGGUCGAGCGAGCUCUCCGAGUGGUCCACGGAGGGCUCCCAACCCUCCGCCUCCUUUUCCCUCUUCCUCCAAUUCGCUCAACAGUUCUCGAGCUCCACCCCCCACAGAAAACUUAGAUCGCCCCCGGGAUCCGAAUCAGAAGAGCACUGUUCCCAGGAAUUCACGGUGAUGAGGUUCGAAGAGGACGACGACGAGGAGAGCUACAAGAGAUUCCGGAGCAGGGAGAGGAAGGAGACCGUGAUGCAGGACUACGGCGUGGUGUACAGCUCAAGGACGGAUUACGGCCACAUGAUCUUGGAACAACGGCUCCUGAUGGUUAACUGGAUGCUCGAGCAUUUUAGGGCAAUGGAGCUCCAGUUGGAGACGUUGUUCUUGGGGGUGGGCAUCAUGGAUCGAUUCCUAAGCAGAGGAUACUUCAAGAGCAUAAGGAACCUGCAGCUGCUGGGAGUGGCUUCGAUCACUCUCUCCACCAGAAUUGAAGAGAACCAGCCCUACAACAGCAGCAUACGGCAGAGAACCUUCAAAGUGGGGAACAACAUCUACAGCAGGAGCGAAGUAGUAGCUAUGGAGUGGGUGAUUCAGGAGGUCCUCGACUUCCAAUGCUUCCUCCCCACAACACACCACUUCCUCUGGUUUUAUUUGAAAGCUGCGGGAGCAGACAGAAAAGUGGAGGACCUGUCAAGGUAUCUGGCUGUUCUUUCCCUUCGUGACCAUGAGAGGCUCUCCUUCUGGCCCUCCACUGUUGCAGCUGGCUUAGUCAUCCUUGCUUGCCUCGCAACCAACCGCGACUCCUCGUGCCAUACGGUCAUGGAGACGCAUGUGAGAACUAAAAAUGAUGAUCUACCAGAAUGCAUAAAGAGCCUCGAGUGGCUGGUCAAGUAUGCGUGUUAGCACUGCAACUCUGAGGUCACUAACUUUUUUUCGCCUCAUAGCUGCAUGGUUUACAAACACUGAUCAGGGGUGUUUUUGCAAUUGUGGCCUUCUAUCUCACCACCCACGCCCCUAGGGCUCUCCCCUGUGCUAAGAUCAGUGGAGACAAGGUAAGAGAAGCUCCUCCUUGCCUUCCAUUUGGAUUUGAUCCCCUUUUAACUUGAAUUUUGGUGGAUUAAACCUCUCUUUUUACUUUUUUUGCUUGUUGGAGGCUUUCCUACCAUUGGAGCUUGGAUUUGAAGCUUGGUUGAGGGAAGAUAUUUAAAGUUUGAGAUCUUUGAACCUUGCUUGAAGCCUCUAAAAGAGCCUUCCACGCCGGGAGAGGCUAGGGACCGCGGAAAGGAUAUUGCCUCGAGUUAGCUGCUUCGAGGGACGCGUCGAUAGGUAGUCUACCUCUCGUUGUUUCCUUUUUGGAGAGGUUGAGAGUUUUACCGAUGUAUAGAGACUACCCCUUUUUGUACCUUCUUGGAGAUGAUUAUUGUACCUCUUUAUGCUUACUUUUAGUAGAUUAUUUUACCUUCCUUCUCUUGUUGUUAGUAUUUAGUUGUUACACUUGCUCUGAUAUCUCUAGUUGUAGAUCAUCUCUUGCUUCUUUUUUCGUUGUUGUUGUAGACGCCUUAUAUGUGCAGACAUAUGGCGGGUCUGGGCGCGCUACCGGGAGGGCCUCUGCCGUCCCUGGGGCGUGACACAUCUUGUAACUAUUUAUCAUGGAAGAGGUUUUAUUUUAAAUGGUUUUAUGAUUUUAGACAUUGAUUAUUAUAAUAAUGAUAGUGGUUCAUUGUUCU